AGCUUUGCGCAGUGGCAGUAUCGUAGCCAAUGAGGUUUAUCCGAGGCGCGAUUAUUGCUAAUUGAAAGAAAGAAAGAGAAGAAA
rnacentral:snRNA from 1 species